AAAGCUCACAAAAAUGUUGAUAUGUAGCAUGACUAACACAGUGCAAAUGUCAGCCCUGGUCUGUGAUUAGGGGCUCUCCCUCUGCUAGCAACAAGCUGGCUCCCUUUUAAGGCAACACUAUACAAGAGGCACAAUGCAUGAAUUCCAACGUGGAACGCUAAUUGUUCCCCAUUCGCUGCUGUUAAUUGCUCGGAUGAAAUGCUUCAGUACACUGGGCUGGAGCCCACAUGAUUUUCAAAUUGAACUGGAAAUUAAAAGCUGACACCAGAAAAUAGAACGAGCUAAUAGAAGUCGAGAAGAGAAUCAUGUUACCUAACCAGAGAGAGAGGGAUACUACAUCGACCUUUCAACCUGGUCUGCAAGGGACUCUGUGAAGCUAGUAGCUGGCUAGAAAGGGACAGCACCUUUCAACAUGCUAGAUUUUGUGGUAUUCAUGUAAAACAGCUUCAUCAGAUUAAUACACGUGGACACUUUGACCUUCGCUGCAUUGGACUCCAGUGUGUGUGUGCUUCCUUUUUAAAGAGAUCAGGGUGAGAAGAUGAAUGAGACGGAGCCUGCAUUCACCAACAUUUCCUCAGAGCAGUUCCCAGGCACUCUGGGAGUAGUCGAUACAUACAGUUGCUUCUGUAUCCUUUGGGGUAUAUUUGUGGAGCUCCAUCGACCGCAAUGCCAAUUUACACCCAGGGGAAAUUUGGCACUGUCGGUGAAAUCCUGGCUCCAUUGGAAUCAGCGGGAGUUUUAGGCAGGAUUUCACCUUAUAUGUCCAAAGCCCCAAUCUACAGAGGGUGAAAAGAGAGUGGCUGACCAGGAAAGCUACAAAGCAAGGGAUUGAGUUAACAACCUAUCCCCUGUAGAAGAACAUGGUUUUCUUAUCAGUACCACUGGGGAACGGUGUCCUCCCAAACUCAGUGCAAGGCCGCUGACUGUGUUUACACACCUGCCUUUGCAAUCAAAGCACAGGAUCGUCUUGGGAACUUCACAGAAGCCACUCAUCUCCUCUAUGCAAAGUGGUGUGAAAAGCAGGGUUUACUAUUGACUCCCUGUCUUUCCUCCCCAUCCUUCCUAAGGACAGAUCCUUCCUCUUCCCCCAAAUAUCCAUGGCCCCCGGUAAGCCUGCACCCAGCCUGUGCCGUUAUCUAGUGCAGAAAAACCAGCUAGUAUAGAGGAAUCACUUUGCCCAUCACUGAAGUGCCGCCAUCUCUGGAGUGAAACCCAGCAACACUACAAGGUAUCGCUUUAUAAAGGCAAAUAGGGUGGCUCCAGUAGCCAAGAAUUCCUUCCAUGGGGUUCAUAGCUCACCUUUGUGUGACACCCCAGGAUCACUGUGGUUAGCAAGAAGUUGCCUGGCUUGCCUAUGCCAGAGAAACUUGAUUUACCAUUCCCAGUUUGGUGCCUCUUGCAUGCAUGUAACCCACUACUUUUCCAUUUGCUAACGUUCCCAGUGGUGCACACAGGCAAUCAUGCAACUCUUUAGAUUAGCCUUGCCCUAAUCAAAACUAACUGCUGUGUGGUUCUCCCUUGUGGCAGUCUCCUCUGGUGCAGAGCCAGCUCUUCUCCUAGGCAGCGUUAUUGUGCCAGGUCUGGGGACUAAGCUCAAUCAUUAAAGUGCGACACAGCAGGAUUGUGGUGCUGCUCUAAAUGCAAACUUCAGCGCAACCUAAACUACUGUGGUGCGAGUGACACUUCCAUAAUAUAUGUGCUUGGAUGGCAGCUUUCACCUGGAUGCACUUUACGGACUGAUUGCACAUGCUAUAUAGGCGCCAUAAUUCUUCCCUCAGCAACCUAGUGAGGUAUCACCUGUGGCUGGCUCCACCUUCUCCUUUGGGGUGAUGUGUGUGGCCCUUGCACAAGUUUUCAGGUGUGGGGGGGUGGCUCCUUCCUUCCUUCCCACCUAGCUUCCCACAAGGGCCACUGACAUUCUGGCAUAUGGUAUAUAGGACUCACUUCGCCCAUCAUUAAAAUGCAGCCACCUCUGGAGUGAAACCCAGCAAUGGCUUCACACCACACAGCAAUGUUAGGAGUAGGGUGACUAGAUAGAAAGUGUGAAAAAUCAGGACAGGGGAUGGGGGGGUAAUAGAUGCCUAUAUCACAAAAAGCUCCAAAUAUCAGGACUGUCCCUAUAAAAUCGGGACAUCUAGUCACCCUAGUUCUGAGGCAGUUUAGUACAGGAGGUGAAGAACAGGUUAUCCAUUUGAAACUAGCAAUGCAGACCAGACCAGAGGAUAAAGUCACAGGCUGGGCCUAAGGGAGCCUACAGGUGGGGGAAGGGCAUAUGUUCCUGUUUUGCAGCACUUGGCUGCAGCAGUGAAUGUUUGUAUACUUUGGAAGAAGGGUGGUGAAAGCAAGAUCAGAUGGGCGAGUGCAUCUCACUGGGCAUAUCCGUGUUACUUAUGAUUGUCUCUAGAUUGGAUAAUUGAGGCCAUUAAAGGAACUUACCCUGUGGUCAGAUACUCCAUUUUAGCCAAUUACAGUCCUGGCUGUGUGUGCAGCCGAUCAGCCAAGGAGGGUUGCUAGUACCUCCAGGAAGUAUUCCUGGAGGUUUCAUCACAAGGCAUAAUCUCUCAUUAAAGAUUAAUCUGUAAUUCCUGGAGACUCCAGGGCAAUCUUGGAUGGUUGGCAACCCUACAGCCAAGAUUCAAACCAAGACUUUGAUGAGUCACUGAGAGCUGCUAUACCAGGUGGAAGUCUUCCUGGAAACUCAGCUGGUAGUAAGUGUGCUAAGUAUCACUUUGCUGGAAGCUGAUCUUGCAUUUAUCAGAGAGAAAGGAAGGCAGAACACAGAUCAUGUUUGAGCAUAUAUGAUCAUCAGUGAAUACAGUGCAUAUGACUGCGGAGAAAUCCUAAGAAAAAACAUUCAUUUCUGGCUAUGUGGGAGUGCAGGUGAUGGCAAAUUCCCUGACACAUUUGUACUGUAGCAGGGGUGAGCAAGUCCCUACAGUCAUUAAAAUGAGCACACCCAUUCCUUAAGGCAAGUCUACUCACAAAUAUGCGGUUUGCAUUAUAAAGGGAUUUAUUCCAAAGAAAGGCUCCAGGGUGAAAAAGUACUGCUGUGUGUCUCUUUUUAAAAAAAAAUUCUUUGUAAAUGCAAAUUGAAUGCUUGUAAGUCAAUAUCUGCUCUUGUGAUAUUGGCAUGCACUGAAAUAGUUUCUCAACAAAAACAUAUUGUAACACAGCUGCUCCUGGAUCUGGCUAGUUGAGAAGUACUCAGCUCCAAUUGUGAAACUCCAUUAAAACUGUAUUUGUUUAAAGCC